rnacentral:rRNA from 1 species
UACGUAGGGUGCGAGCGUUGUCCGGAAUUAUUGGGCGUAAAGGGCGCGUAGGCGGCCUUCUAAGUCGAACGUGAAAUCCCCGGGCUCAACCCGGGAACUGCGUCCGAUACUGGAAGGCUUGAAUCCGGGAGAGGGAUGUGGAAUUCCAGGUGUAGCGGUGAAAUGCGCAGAUAUCAGGAGGAACACCAAUGGCGAAGGCAGCUCGCUGGGGACGUGAACUGACGCUUGGAGACGCGAAAAGCGUGGGGGAGCAAAAUAGG